UACGUAGGGCGCAAGCGUUAUCCGGAAUUAUUGGGCGUAAAGGGCGCGUAGGCGGUCGUGACAAGUCACUUGUGAAAUCUCCGGGCUUAACUCGGAACGGUCAAGUGAUACUGUCGGACUAGAGUACAGAAGGGGCAACUGGAAUUCUCGGUGUAGCGGUGAAAUGCGUAGAUAUCGAGAGGAACACCUGCGGCGAAGGCGGGUUGCUGGGCUGAUACUGACGCUGAGGCGCGAAAGCCAGGGGAGCGAACGGG
rnacentral:rRNA from 1 species